rnacentral:rRNA from 1 species
AUUGAACGCUUGCGGCAGGCUUAACACAUGCAAGUCGAGCGGAGAGAGGUAGCUUGCUACUGAUCUUAGCGGCGGACGGGUGAGUAAUGCUUAGGAAUCUGCCUAUUAGUGGGGGACAACAUUUCGAAAGGAAUGCUAAUACCGCAUACGUCCUACGGGAGAAAGCAGGGGAUCUUCGGACCUUGCGCUAAUAGAUGAGCCUGAGUCGGAUUAGCUAGUUGGUGGGGUAAAGGCCUACCAAGGCGACGAUCUGUAGCGGGUCUGAGGGGAUGAGCCGCCUCACUGGGACUGGGAAACGACCCAGACUCCUACGGUAGGCGGCAGUGGGGAAUAUGGGACAAUGGGCGCAAGCCUGAUCCAGCCAUGCCGCGUGUGUGAAGAAGGCCUUAUGGUUGUAAAGCACUUUAAGCGAGGAGGAGGCUACUUUAGAUAAUACCUAGAGAUAGUGGACGUUACUCGCAGAAUAAGCACCGGCUAACUCUGUGCCAGCCGCCGCCGUAA